CGGAAUUAUUGGGCGUAAAGGGUGCGUAGGCGGCCUGACAAGUCUGAUGUGAAAUCCCUGGGCUCAACCCAGGGCCUGCAUCGGAAACUGUCGGGCUUGAGUAUGGGAGAGGUGAGUGGAAUUUCCGGUGUAGCGGUGAAAUGCGUAGAUAUCGGAAGGAACACCUGUGGCGAAAGCGGCUCACUGGACCAUUACUGACGCUGAGGCACGAAAGCUAGGGGAGCAAACAGG
rnacentral:rRNA from 1 species